rnacentral:rRNA from 1 species
ACGCUCGACACCUACGGCAGCAGUGGGGAAUAUUGCACAACGGGGGAAACCCUGAUGCAGCGACGCCGCGUGAAGGAAGAAGUAUCUCGGUAUGUAAACUUCUAUCAGCAGGGAAGAAAAUGACGGUAUCUGACUAAGAAGCCCCGGCUAACUACGUGCCAGCAGCCGCGGUAAUCUGAGCGGGCUGGCAAGGC